GGGGGGGACUUCUUUUUUCUUUCUCCAGAAACCUAAACUAGGGCACAAGCCGUGUUUGCGCUUUACCUUGUAUGCGGUUGCGGAUUGGUGAAAUUGUACCGCAGUAAGGAGUUUUUUUCCCAAAUGGAAGAGGCGCUGCAGCCGACGACAGAGCGCGUGGCAGAGUUACCGAACUGACCGGGAGCUCAGACUGUCCUGAGUGCGCGGAAUGACUCUCUCAUUUCGCUGUGAUAAGCAGGAAGAGGAGACGGGUUUUCUUACGAUAAGGGAUAUUUGGCGUUUUUCUUCUGAUCGGUACUGCAGCGAGACUGAGUGUUGUAUGCGGUAAUCUCUGGGCCGCGGAAUGGUGACGCCCGUCAUAUUCGCCUGGGACGGAGUUAUAUGGACGCUUGAACGGACUUUUCCUUGCCCUGCCGUACAGCCAUCCUCCAGGGCCGCAGCUCACUGCCUCAGACUGUGUUAUAGUUACCUAGGAGUUGGAGCGCCUCAUCCAUCCUGCUGGAUCUGGUAAAGCAAACACACCCACCUUUUGGAGCUUUGCAGCAAGAUAGGCACAAACAUGCUCUCACCUGAGAUUACUGACGAUAAAAGCACUGAGUGUGGCGAUUCGGAUCCUGAGAUUCACCCAGUCUUCCUCGGUAAUCCCUACACUUGUACGAGGCAGUGCGGUACACACCACCGCCACGCACUGUUACAGCUAUGUGGGUGUGGCCUCUCUCUAAAUACGAUAUAAUGUACUGUACUCGUCCUUCAUAAGUAUUGGUUUUUGAAAUAAAGAUUAAAAAUGGUUUACUUAAACACAAGCAUUGCCAUAAUUGAUCAGUUAAUUGUGGU